rnacentral:lncRNA from 1 species
AGGCAUUUUCCGGAAUAAAAUAUAUACAAAUUUUUCAGGGCAUUUCCCAGAUAAAUUUAACUAAGGAAACGACCUCUCGCCUCAAAACUAACAAAAACCUUAAAAUUUACAUACCCAAGUGUAGUCGGCCUAAACUUACUCCUUGCAUUCAAUGAAAGAGCUAACAAUAACUAAAUAGAAGUAUUAAAGCGAGUCACAAUAAAUACAACUCUGUUAUCUUCAACUUUCACUUCUACGGACUUAUAUUCAACAUUUCAACUCGACUAAUUAAUUCAACUUCCUCCUUUAAUUAAUUCAUGAAAUAGUCCAACUCAAUCACGGCAAGCAAAUUAGAUUCCAAAAGAUAAAUGUCCUAUUUCCAAUAAUGAAUCAUAUAAGAACUUUGAUUACUUUAAAGAGAGCAUCAAUACCAACAAAUAAUCACAUAAUAAAAUUAAGGAUUUAAAAAAGAGAAAAGGGAUUGGAACUCACGGAGAGCAAAUUUCUAAUGUUAACAUAUAAACUUCGAGAGAAUCCUACUGCUUGCAGCUGACUGAAAAAGUGAACCGCGCCGCCGACCUCGACGAACCUCAACUCAUUCGAACCUCUUUGGUCGACGAAUGAUGUUGGAUCUAUUUUGGUAUUUUUGAGCUGUUCUUUAGUAAAUUUUCAUGGAGCUUCAAGAGAUGUUUUCAAUAGAAUUUCAUAGACUGACU